rnacentral:rRNA from 1 species
UUAGAGUUUGAUCCUGGCUCAGGAUGAACGCUAGCGACAGGCCUAACACAUGCAAGUCGAGGGGCAGCACUUCGGGUGGCGACCGGCGCACGGGUGAGUAACGCGUAUGUAACCUGCCCAUCAGUUUGGGAUAGCCCAGUGAAAACUGGAUUAAUACCGGAUGAUAUCAUUUGAAAGCAUUUGAUAAUGAUUAAAGAUUUAUCGCUGAUGGAUGGACAUGCGUUGGAUUAGCUGGUUGGCGGGGUAACGGCCCACCAAGGCGACGAUCCAUAGGGGUUCUGAGAGGGAGGUCCCCCACAUUGGUACUGAGACACGGACCAAACUCCUACGGGAGGCAGCAGUGAGGAAUAUUGGUCAAUGGACGGAAGUCUGAACCAGCCAAGUCGCGUGAAGGAUGAAGGUAUUAUGUAUUGUAAACUUCUUUAGCAGUGGAGUAAUAAGGGGAUCGCGAUCCCUGAUGCAAGUACACUGAGAAUAAGGAUCGGCUAACUACGUGCCAGCAGCCGCGGUAAUACGUAGGUUGCAAGCGUUGUCCGGAUUUACUGGGUGUAAAGGGCGUGUAGGCGGAGCUGCAAGUCAGAUGUGAAAUCCCGGGGCUCAACCCCGGAACUGCAUUUGAAACUGUAGCCCUUGAGUAUCGGAGAGGCAAGCGGAAUUCCUAGUGUAGCGGUGAAAUGCGUAGAUAUUAGGAGGAACACCAGUGGCGAAGGCGGCUUGCUGGACGACAACUGACGCUGAGGCGCGAAAGUCGGGGGAGCAAACAGGAUUAGAUACCCUGGUAGUCCGCACAGUAAACGAUGGAUACUCGCUGUCGGCGAUACACAGUCGGUGGCCAAGCGAAAGCGUUAAGUAUCCCACCUGGGGAGUACGCCGGCAACGGUGAAACUCAAAGGAAUUGACGGGGGCCCGCACAAGCGGAGGAACAUGUGGUUUAAUUCGAUGAUACGCGAGGAACCUUACCCGGGCUUGAAUUGCUGGUGGCGGUAGCUGGAGACAGCUUCCUUCCUUCGGGACGCCAGUGAAGGUGCUGCAUGGUUGUCGUCAGCUCGUGCCGUAAGGUGUCGGCUUAAGUCCCGCAACGAGCGCAACCCACGUUUCCAGUUGCCACCCGCGAGGGGGCCCUCUGGAGAGACUGCCGGGGACAACCCGGAGGAAGGUGUGGAUGACGUCAAGUCCUCAUGGCCCUUACAUCCUGGGCUACACACGUGCUACAAUGGUCGGUACAAUGGGUCGCAACGCCGCGAGGCGGAGCCAAUCCUUAAAGCCGGCCUCAGUUCGGAUCGGAGUCUGCAACUCGACUCCGUGAAGCUGGAAUCGCUAGUAAUCGUGGGUCAGCACACCACGGUGAAUACGUUCCCGGGCCUUGCACACACCGCCGGUCAAG